UCUCUCUAUCUCUCUCUUGCUCUCUCUUUGUCUCUGUUAUUUUCUUUGAACUUCCUUUUUACUCUCUUCUUUUAAUCCGCAAUAACAAUCCUAUCAGCUUCACAUCCAGUUCCAAAGGGAAAAAAUUGGGAAAUUUUUCAUCCUGAAUUUUGAUCUUAACCACAGUCACGGAGCUUAGAUCUAAAUUUCUAACUAAUCAGCAACAAUGUCCUUUGCUUGGGAUUACCAUUUGCAAGGUGGCACUCUCCAUGAUGAUCGGUGGUUCUCAUUCAAUAGGAACAACCACAAUAAAAGGAGCAGGAGUAUGAACACAAAUAGGGACAACGAUUACAUUGCACCCUUAGUUAUUCGAAUGCCAAUGAUAAGGUACGUAAUGUGUGAGCCGAGAGUCCUCCUCACUCGUUAUGAAUAUUUAGGAAUCGACUAACACCUCUUCGGAAUUAGAGUCCUAAUUCGAGGAGUGAGGAACCUAACAAAUACAUAACAAGUUAAACAAACAUAACAUCAAUUCACUGUAGAGUCAUCCCAUCUACUUAUGUCCUUGGAAAAUCCAAGAUGGUGAAAUAUUAAACGUUCAUUUUAUCAAUAAUAGGAACUAGCAUCAUGAUUUUAACCCCAAAAUUAUCAAUCUCAAAUUAUGAAGAGUACAUCGUUAAAUCUGUUUAUCCUUAUUGAGGGACGAGGUGGGGUGUCUAACACCUUCCUCAUCCGUGCAUGGAUCCCGAACUUUAAAUCUCUGUUUUUCGAAGUGGUUCUCAUAAAUUUUUACAAAUGAUUUUCUUUGAUUUCCCUUAAAAUUAAAGUGGCGACUCCUCACUUUUUCCACCUCGGUGAGAAUCGUCUGGCGACUGCAAAACCUUUGUGACAAUGUUAGUGUAAUAAAAUGAUUUUGUAAAAGUUGUAUCCAUUUAUCACUGAAUGUUGAAUUAUAUAAGUGUUGAAAUAAAAGUUUUAUAGCUUUGAUGUUGUAUUAUGCCUACUGAAGAAACGCAGGGAGGCAAUAGUUGUGAUUUGAGAAAUUAUAGGGACUAAAUAGGUAUGUAUUUUAAAAUUAUAGGGGCUAAAUAAUUGUCUUAUUCAAAUUAUGAGGACUAAAUAAUUGUCUUAUUCAAAUUAUGGGAACUAAAUAGUUAUAUUAUUCAAAUUACAGGGACUAAAUAGUUGAGUUGGCAACAUAUAUUUUGAGAUGGUAACCCCUGUUUUUGAUGAAUUAGUAACCUGUAAAAUGAAAAACCUGUCUAUAAUAUAUAAUUUAUAACCUGUAAAAUGCAACAAUUAUCAAAGACAAAUUUUUCUAUCAAUAGUAUAUAUUGGAAUAGAUACAAAAAUCAACUGUUUACAACCAAAAUACUUGAUCAAUUAAAUAACAGUAAAGAUAGCCAUCAUUCUAGUGAUCAAGUCCAUUACAUUACUAUAAAUCAAAAUUAUUAAAUAACUUAUCUAAUAUCAUCUCCAAUAAGCACUAAAUUUCUCAAUAUUUACACGCACAAAGUUCCAACUAUGCACAUUGCAACCACAAAAUAUAAGACUACAGGGCAUAUUUCACCAAUAAAAUUGAACUAACAACAAAAUAUGACUAAUGUUCCAUUUCCAAUGACCAUCCUAAUGCAAUGACUAUCUCCCCAUAUCUUGAGCAAUGUUACUGUUCACAUACAUGGCUUGUUGCACAUGCCCCCCUUGAGAUUGUGGCUUAAAUUCUUGGUGGGCUACAGAACUGUUUUUUUUUCUUCCUUCCACCUCUAGAACUUGUGUUGGACCGCAUGAAGAAAUAGCUCAUGUCAUAAUAAAAUAUUAACAUAAAAAUCAAUAAAUAUAUAUAUAAUUGAGAUCUUUGUAUGCAUAAAAUUUUUAAUUGAUAGAUGGUAAAAUAGUUUAAUAUGACAAAACUUACCCCAACUAGGGCAUAUUGGCAAGUCCUCUUAUUAUGUCCCAAUUGCUUGCACCUGGCACAAAACACCAUUGCAUUCCUUCUUCUCUUUACUGUAGGCCCUAGCUCUCUCUCUUCCCUUUUCCUCGAUUUUCGAGGCCUGCUUAGUUGCCUUUUCAAUGGGUGUGGUUUUAUUGGUGGGUGUUCAGCAUUUGGUUCCAUAUUCAUUUCUGGGAUUGGAUGAAUUGCACAUUCAUAGACCUUCAAAUAGGUAUCAACAUCUUAGUAAUUAUGACAGUACUUCUCUAUAUCUCCUCUCUGAUGCCCAAUGGCUUUGGCUGCAUAUUUACAUGGCAAUCUAGAUAUGUCCCACCAUCCACAGGAGCAAGUCUUUUUCACCAAAGAAACAACAAAUUUACAGGGACCCUCAUGAACCUCGAACUCUUCAUUCUUUCCAGGUAUUAGCUUAACACAUCUACUCUGACUUGUAAUCUUGUUCAAUAUCUUCUUUGUUCUAGGUGUGACCUUCCCAUCCCAAGUACAGCCCUUUGCAUACAUGCUAUGGAAUCUUAACAUGAGUUUCUAUCUAAUGCUCUCAAUUAUGUUGAUCAAUGGCAUUCCUCUUAGCUUGCCUAUCCAGCUUUUAAAAGAUUCUGUCAUGUUGUUUGUGUAGUUUUCACAUUUUGUCUGUCCAAAAUGAAUGCCUUGUCCAUUGUGACAAAGGUAUCUUUAACAACUGUUAUGGAAAGUCAAUCACAAUAUUAUUUCUCUGUAUAUUCUGAUUCUGUAUUCUGUAUUCCUAUUUAGGAUUUCUUCCUAAUUAGUAUAACACAAUUAUAGGAAUCAAUUGUAUAUAUAUACCCAGAAUCAUCUCUUUCUACAACAACCAAUCAUAUGGCUUCUGCUGCCUCUUAGGCUUAAACACCUUCAUAUGAAGCCAAAAUUCAUAACUAUUUGUAGCUUUUGCACAAUUUCAAAAGUUAUCUUUUAGUUGCAUUCCUGGAAAUUGUUUCUUGGAAUUUGAGAAUAAAUGCCUACAGCAGAAUCUAUGGCAAGCAGUUGGAAAAACCUCCUUUACUGCUUCCACUAAACCCUACACAAAAUUCAUUUUGUCAAAACAUACUAUUGGACAAUGGAUAUUAAAUAAUAUAUUGGAUAAUGUAAUAAAGUAAAGCAAACUAGUUAGAUAGGUUACCUUUUGUCUAUCAGACAUGAAUGUCCAUGGCCUGUUGUCUCCAGUGCAAUGAUACAGGUUCUCUAAGAAAAAAUUCCAACUCUCCAAACAUUCUGACUCUCCAAAUGCAAAUGCUAAGGGUAGUGCUCCUCUAUUACCAUCUAAUACAACAGCAGAUAAAAAGAUCCCUCCAUAUAGACCCUUUAAGUGACAGCCGUCAAGGCCAAUCAAAGGCCUACAUCCCUUUGUGAACCCAUCCUUGGUUGCUUCGAAUGAUAUGAACAAUCUUUUGAAAACCAUGUCAUCCUCUUCCUUGACUCUAGUUUCUAGUUCAAUCUUAACCACUACUCCAGGAUUAUACUUUUGCAAGUAGUACAAAUAUUUUUUGAACUUUUUGUAGCUAUCAGCAUGCUCCCCAAUAUUUUGUGAUUUAGCUAUAAUCUUGGCCCUAUACAAAUGCCACAUAGGUGCAUCCACUUCGCAUUUCUCAAGUAAGUGAUGUUGCAUUAGCUCAUAAGACAUAUUUGGAUCAGCUCUAAAACUCAUCAAUUUCUCUAAAAUCCAUCUAGUGGUGCCAUUGGGGUUCUUAUCGUCUAGUGGUCUCAUACAACUAUGAACAUUAAUAAGAGUCUUCAGCAUAAAUGCCAUGUCAUUUGCUAAAGUACUUGCAUUAAAUCUCCAAUCACAUCCUUCAACACCCCAAGUAGUUGUUACCCUCCUAUUAUCAUUCUUCUUUUUAUGUAUUUCAUACCCUCAUUUCACUGCAUAGUCUCUUAAAGCCUCUUUAAUAGCUGUGACAUCUUUAAAAACCUGACCAACUUGGAAAGCAAUAUCUUCACCCUUUUUAUAAUGAAAAGGGUUUGCAUACACCCCCUUAAAUGGAUCUUUAUAUGGUUUUUGUUUAAUAGGAUCAUCAUUUUCAUCAUCCUUGUCACUGCAAAUGUCAGACAAUCCAUCAUCAUCUUCCUCUAUAUCCCCAAUGUCAUCAUCUAAUUCAUCCUCAUUAUCACUACUCAUUUCAUAACCAUGUUCCAGCCUGUCUUCAUCAUCAUUGUCAGUAAAUUCAAUCUCACUAUCACUGACAGGGGGUGCAUCAUCAUUAGGUGCAGCCCUAGCUCCUUUUACCCCUCACAGAACCCUUGCGCACAUUAGAAGACCCUCUGCCCACAGUAGAAGAUCCUCUGCCCACAGUAGCAGACCCCCUGCCCAUUUUAACAGAACCCCCUCCACUAGACACACCAACAUAGUGAACAGGGGCAGUAUUCCUUCGACCACCUAUCACACUGCCCACAGAAGCCAUUCUGACAUCAACAAAACUCAUGUUUACAUUUUUAGCCUCUCUUCCAAUACGAAAAUAAGGUCCAAAUCUACCCAUAUCCUUAUCCCCAAUUUCAAUUUCACCAACAAUCUUCUUACCCUUUUCGGCCAAAUCACCAGAAUUGCCCCGUGUUACCGGGGCCAACCCUACACGCCUUGGACUUCCUAUUAUCACCUGGCAUCUCAACACUCAGAGCAACGUGUUUUGUUCUAAUUGUAAAAGGAAUCACUGGGUUAUCCUUGCACAUUUCAAACAUGAAAAGUAGGUCCCAAUCAGUUUCAACAGCCAGUCCAUUUCCAGUCAUUACACUAAUAAAAUCAGAUUGUAUUUCAAACAUUUUAUACACAUCAGCUAGCAACUCAAUGUAUGAAUACUUAUCUGCUGGGACAUUCCCAAGUUCACUCUCUUUUUCUUCAUACUUAAAAACACGAGUAUAAUACUCUGCAUAAUUCAUUUUCCCCCUGACAUAAAAAAUACAAAAGUAAUCAAUCACAACAUUGUUAAGUUAACUUUACUUACUUUAAUAAAAUACAUGCUUUUACUGUGAACAUUCCAAGAAACUAAAACAAUAUUUUAUUUCAACACAUCACAUAUUAAAUUGCACAAGUAUUACAAUUGGUAAUACGCGCACACACACACACACUUUUAGACUAUCCAAAAAAAUUAUAUUUUAUUUCUUUGCUCUGUCCACAAGUAUUACAUGGUUGAUUGACUACAAGUAUAUAUAAGUCCCAUAUGUGCACAGUGGUAGAAAAUUUUUCAAUAUGAAAAUAAUUACAUAUCAGUGUUAGACAAAAUUCUUAAUUAGAAUAAUCUUGCAGUCUUACUGCAAUGUUUUUUUAAUCUUGCAAUCUUACUGCAAUGUUUUUUUCUAUCAAAAUAAUUUUCGUUUAAAAGAAGUUAUCACUGGUUAUUGUUUAUUUUGGUGGUUGUAAAGUAGAAAAAAUAAAAUUGAAAAUUGCUUGCCAAAGGAAGGGAUCACUAAUUUGUAUUUGUUCUGGUGGUUAUAGAAUAGCAAAAGAAACAAGUGGAGUGGGUGAUGGGAGACCACAAUUGUGGUAUUAGUGGUAAUCCAAGUAUGAAUCUCUAAAUAUAUCCAUAAAAUUUUAUUUUUAGCAUACUUGUGUAUCUGGAUUGGUGUAUACAUAACUUUCCACAUCAUUGUCACCAGUAAAAACUAUCAAAUCAGUUGAAUGGAUGAUGGAUGCAAUGAAUAUGUUUGAUGUGCAGAUGCUAUUUGAAAGUCUGUGGUCUUGUAAAGUGUGCAAUAAUCAUUUUAAGGAUAUUUAGAAGAUCAUAAUGAUUUAAUUAUUUAUUUAUUAUUUUUGUAAUAUAAGAAUUGCAGAGACAAGUUUAACGUUAGUUUUUUACUCUAAAUAAAUUUUUUAGUCUACAUAUAGAACCUUUUAACAGUUCCUGCAGGGUAAGAGGAACAUACAAUACAUCAAAAUUCCCAGUUAUAGAAGCUAGUACUUUUUUAUUUUUUCCCCAUUUUCACUUCCCUUUAAAUUCUCUUGCGGGUGAUUUAUUUCGAUUCUGGAUUUGUUUCAAUAUAGGAGUUGUGAGAAGCUUGAUUGACAAUGCUUCACUCUACAUCUUUAUUCAUUAUGAUAAUCUUGAGUUUGGGAAAGGUUGAUCUUA